rnacentral:tRNA from 1 species
GGGAAAUUAGCUCAGAGGCAGAGCAGCGCCCUUACAAGGCGAAGGUCGGGGUUUCGAUAUCCUCAUUUCCUA